UGGGGAAUAUUGGACAAUGGGCGCAAGCCUGAUCCAGCCAUGCCGCGUGAGUGACGAAGGCCCUAGGGUUGUAAAGCUCUUUCAGUGGUGACGAUGAUGACGGUAGCCACAGAAGAAGCCCCGGCUAACUCCGUGCCAGCAGCCGCGGUAAUACGGAGGGGGUUGGCGUUGUUCGGAAUUACUGGGCGUAAAGCGCGCGUAGGCGGACUAUUAAGUGAGAGGUGAAAUCCCAGGGCUCAACCCUGGAACUGCCUUUCAUACUGGUAGUCUUGAGUUCGAGAGAGGUGAGUGGAAUUCCGAGUGUAGAGGUGAAAUUCGUAGAUAUUCGGAGGAACACCAGUGGCGAAGGCGGCUCACUGGCUCGAUACUGACGCUGAGGUGCGAAAGUGUGGGGAGCAAACAGGAUUAGAUACCCGUGUAGUCC
rnacentral:rRNA from 1 species